rnacentral:rRNA from 1 species
UACGGAAGGCAGCAGUGGGGAAUAUUGCACAAUGGGCGCAAGCCUGAUGCAGCCAUGCCGCGUGUAUGAAGAAGGCCUUCGGGUUGUAAAGUACUUUCAGUCGUGAGGAAGGUGUUAAGGUUAAUAACCUUAGCAAUUGACGUUAGCGACAGAAGAAGCACCGGCUAACUCCGUGCCAGCAGCCGCGGUAAUACGGAGGGUGCGAGCGUUAAUCGGAAUUACUGGGCGUUAAAGGGCACGCAGGCGGUUAAUUAAGUUGGAUGUGAAAUCCCCGGGCUUAACCUGGGAAUGGCAUUCAAGACUGGUUAGCUAGAGUCUUGUAGAGGGGGUUAGAAUUCCAUGUGUAGCGGUGAAAUGCGUAGAGAUGUGGAGGAAUACCGGUGGCGAAGGCGGCCCCUGGACAAAGGACUGACGCUCAUGUGCGAAAGCUGGGGAGCAAACAGGGAUUAGAUACC